UGUGUUACCUUCAGCAGGCUGUGUGAUGUUCCAGGUGGGCAGGUACUCUGUGUGUGUGUGUGUGUGUGUGUGUGUGUGUGUGUGUGUGUGUGUGUGUGUGUGUUACCUUCAGCAGGCUGUGUGAUGUUCCAGGUGGGCAGGUACUCUGUGUGUGUGUGUGUGUGUGUGUGUGUGUGUGUGUGUGUGUGUGUGUGUGUGUGUGAGUGUGUGUGAGUGUGUUACCUUCAGCAGGUUGUGUGAUGUUCCAGGUGGGCAGGUACUGUGUGUGUGUGUGUGUGUGUGUGUGUGUGUGUGUGUGUGUGUGUGUGUGUGUGUGUGUUACCUUCAGCAGGCUGUGUGAUGUUCCAGGUGGGCAGGUACUCUGUGUGUGUGUGUGUGUGUGUGUGUGUGUGUGUGUGUGUGUGUGUGUGUGUGUGUGUGUGUGUGUGAGUGUGUUACCUUCAGCAGGUUGUGUGAUGUUCCAGGUGGGCAGGUACUCUGUGUGUGUGUGUGUGUGUGUGUGUGUGUGUGUGUGU